GCCAAAGUGGUAUAGUGGCAGCACAUCACGUUGUGGCCGUGAGGACGGCGGUUCGAUUCCGCCCUUUGGCA